UCCAGGAUGGCCAUGAUGGGAAUCAUUGCAGACAGAAUCUUGGCAAGCAGAAUAAGCAAGGUCAGGCUGUGAGAGGAGGCCGGGAUCGGUGUCGGUGCUUUCACACCCUUUGGCGGAGAUGUACUCAGGCUGGAGAGCGGUGGGCAGCUUCCCCUGCGGCCCUGUGAACUUCAAUUGGGGAGGCAAGGA